GGGGCUGAUUCUGGAUUCGACGGGAUUUGCGAAACCCAAGGUGCAUGCCGAGGGGCGGUUGGCCUCGUAAAAAGCCGCAAAAAAUAGUCGCAAACGACGAAAACUACGCUUUAGCAGCUUAAUAACCUGCUUAGAGCCCUCUCUCCCUAGCCUUCGCUCUUAGGACGGGGAUCAAGAGAGGUCAAACCCAAAAGAGAUCGCGUGGAAGCCCUGCCUGGGGUUGAAGCGUUAAAACUUAAUCAGGCUAGUUUGUUAGUGGCGUGUCCGUCCGCAGCUGGCAAGCGAAUGUAAAGACUGACUAAGCAUGUAGUACCGAGGAUGUAGGAAUUUCGGACGCGGGUUCAACUCCCGCCAGCUCCACCA
rnacentral:tmRNA from 1 species